rnacentral:rRNA from 1 species
UACGUAGGGCGCGAGCGUUGUCCGGAAUUAUUGGGCGUAAAGAGCUCGUAGGCGGCUGGUUGCGUCUGCUGUGAAAUCCCGGGGCUUAACCCCGGGCGUGCAGUGGAUACGGGCCGGCUGGAGGCAGGCAGGGAGAAUGGAAUUCCCGGUGUAGCGGUGAAAUGCGCAGAUAUCGGGAGGAACACCGGUGGCGAAGGCGGUUCUCUGGGCCUGUACUGACGCUGAGGAGCGAAAGCGUGGGGAGCGAACAGG